rnacentral:lncRNA from 1 species
GUCAUACUCCAAAACACUAUAUUCAUGGAGCAUAUAAACUCUUACCACUUACUGUCCAAAUCAUUAUGCUCCACCAUUUCGUAAAAUAAUGUUUAAAGAAAGAUAUGUUUUUCAGCCUGUAUGUGUGCAUACUUUCCUCCCCAGGAAUAGCACUGACAGACCAAGGAACACUGGGUUCAUCAUAUGAGCACUGGAAAAUAUACCAUCUCGUCCACAUGUGUAAUUACGUGACCCUGGAAAGACCCACUUGGGCCCUUGGUGUAUUUCAUUGGUAAAUAGGGCAAUAUCUCUUCCAUAAUGGAAGCAAGAAAAAAAAUACGAUUUUUCUUUCCUCUUCACAAUAACUUUUGAGUAUUUCUUUUCAUUUAGACUAUGAAAUUUUCAUUUUUCAACUACAAAGGGGUUUUAUCUCUUGAUAUAUUGCCCCUAAAAUGUGUUUGAAAUUAGUUUCCUACACUUUAGCUGAGUAGCAAACCCUCAAAUACUUCAAUGAAAGACCUCAAUCAUGAAAAGGCCUGGGUUUUCUCUGACUUUCCAAAUGAAGAGUCUUGACCAAAUGAACAUAGAUGACCCCUCUCUGCUUGGGUUUUCCAACUGAGAAGCAUUAUACUAGACUCUGAUGGCCUCUUCUAGUUCAAAAAUUUUGUGUUAACAUCUAUACAAAUCUUUUUUUAGAUUCUCAGACACCUGCAUUAAAAAAUAGCUGGAUAGGUUUAAACUAUGGAGGAUUAUAGGAAAGUAGAAGUCAUUUUGUAUUUGGGUCUAAAAUAUGAAUGCAGGAAUUCAAAUGCAGUAAUUGUAUCAAUAACACAUCAGAGUCAUGUAAGUCUUUAUGCAUCUUCCUUAUAUUCUAUGCAUGAGUUUGCUAUCCAUUCACCUUAAGGGAAUAAACUGUUGAAUUCUCACUGACCUCUGGUCUCUAAGGCUGUAAUUCUCAUCCCACACCUCAGGGUUUCUGCAUUUUGAAACAAGUUUUCCUGAUCAUAACAAUGCACUCUUAAGAACACUGCUCUCAGGUGAGGUUUAAUAGCACAUGAAAUAGUACUUGAGAUGAUCACAGUACUAUGUAGUUCAUUUUGGUAGUAUAGAUGGAAACAGUAAAUUGAGUGGUUUUGGUUUCAUCUGUAUCAAUUGAAACUGCAUUUUGGUUGUACAUUUUUCUAUUUUCUGAACCAUAAAACCACAUGUCUAAUUCACAAGCUGUAGUCCUGAAUUUAAUUCAUUCACCAUUUUAUCUUCAAAGAGUAAAAUAAGAGUUAAGGUUUAUAAAAAAUCUGAAAAGCUUUGCCACUGACAUUCAAAGGAAAUAAAAUAUAUUACUGGGCCCAGAGCAAGCAAGCCCUUGCACUAAAUUUAUGUAAGUUUAUUUCAUCUCUGGGUUUUAGUAAUAAUAUUUUCUGUCUUUGGCAUUUUUUGACUGAUAUUCAUUAUGUUUUAUCUUUUCUGGGCUUUAUUCCAUGUAUUUCUAAAGUACAUCAGCUCAGUUUAUUUCUUGAAGAUAUAACAAAAUAAUGUGCCUUUGAUUCUAAUGUACCUAUUACCAUUUAAAUAAAACACUCAUGAGUAAAAAGCAUUUAUCUGGUGAGAAUGCGUGGCUGAAACCUUCAUAAGUUAGAUUUACUGAAAAUAUACUUUGUUAGAAGGGAUGUUUUAUAAGAGAUUCUGGAGACCUAUAAACAGGUUUGUUUUAUGUAAUAGAAGUAUAUGAAAUAAGUUCAUGUUCUUUUGGCUAAUAGGACUUUAAAUUCAUGAUGAAAUAUAUGCUUAUUUUGUAUUGGGUUUUAAAUUUCUGGGAAAUUCAAAAUAUUAAUGAAAAGGACUCUGGUGAUGACAGCAAACUCUUUAAUUCCAGGUUCCUCUCUUUGAGGAGAUACAACAUGGUUCAUUUCUCAUCAUGAUAAAAAAAGAAAAAGAAAAAACAGAAUGUCAUGUUGAGAACUGUCUUAGUUUGCAGAAUAAAGUCAGAUCUUCCAGUAAAUUUGUUAAAAGUCAGCAAUCCUCCUUUAUUAUUCCAGCUACCAAAGACUUCAUUUUAAAAUUCAGGAGGCAAAGGAGGUUUUAUUUACCAGCCAGUUCAUGUUGCUAGCCCUUUCAGAAUAUUUUAUUAUCUUGUUUCCAUUAUUCCCAGUGGUGAGUGAUUUGUUGUUUCUUUUGACCACUCAUCAAGUAAUAAUUGAUAAUCAGAAAUCUUCAUGUAAUAUUUAGGAUAAAUUUUUAUCUUUUCCUAAUUGAACACUCAUGGAUUUUGAUAACUGAGUAAAAUUUCUCUUUACUUCUCUGCCUUAAAGUUCUUUUGGAUUGCAAUCCUACUUUUAUAAUUAGCUUUCUUUCUGCUCAUUGAUCAGUGUUUCCAUUAUAAUAUUUUUCCAUUUCUUUUUCCUGUUUCUGAGAUAACUGAAAAGUGAAUGCACUCUCUGGUUCUUAUAAAAUCUAUUUAGGUAUCAUUUGCUCUUAUGAAAACCUAAAUAUUUGUCUCUCUCCCUUUGUCUUGAUUACCAAAAUUAUUGCAGAUGCAUAAUAAAUUUUCAAAUUCUCAAUCUCCUUGAUUUCUCCUUUCCAGCUUUUAGAAAUUUGUUUAUCUAAUUUCAAGGCUUUACAUUUUUAAAUUACUCAUUUACAUUCGUCUAUUGUUUUUCCCUAUUCCAUUUUAAAUUUAUGUUUAUAUGUAAAUGCUUCUAUUGUUUCUGACACUUUCCAACUUAGUCUCAUUUUCAAGUAAUGAACAACUUUUACCUGCUUCGCUUCUAUCUU